rnacentral:lncRNA from 1 species
CAUAGUACCAGUAGUCCGGCCUAUAUGGCCUAAGACCCUUAGUACUAACUACUAAACAACUAAGCAAUAAUAAUCAAUACUAAUCAAUUAAAUCAAACCGUUAUCCAGAUAGUCCAGCCUCCUGCUAUGAAAAUAUCCUUAAAGAUAACGGGAACCUGCACUCAACCAAAUCAACACACAAGAAUAGAAAACAUGAUGCAUCCUAACCUUAGUCCUAGUCAGGUUAUCAACUCAGUCUUAAUUCCAUUUAUCUCAGCUUAGCCCUUGCUAAACUGAAUCCGGUUCCAUAAAUAAAAUAACCCUAAGGACUCUACCAUUCAAUAGUGUGAUCAUUCU